AUUGAACGCUGGCGGCAGGCCUAACACAUGCAAGUCGAGCGGCAGCGGGAAAGUAGCUUGCUACUUUUGCCGGCGAGCGGCGGACGGGUGAGUAAUGCCUGGGAAAUUGCCCAGUCGAGGGGGAUAACAGUUGGAAACGACUGCUAAUACCGUAUACGCCCUACGGGGGAAAGCAGGGGAACUUCGGGCCUUGCGCGAUUGGAUAUGCCCAGGUGGGAUUAGCUAGUUGGUGAGGUAAUGGCUCACCAAGGCGACGAUCCCUAGCGGGUCUGAGAGGAUGAUCAGCCACACUGGAACUGAGACACGGUCCAGACUCCUACGGGAGGCAGCAGUGGGGAAUAUUGCACAAUGGGGGAAACCCUGAUGCAGCCAUGCCGCGUGUGUGAAGAAGGCCUUCGGGUUGUAAAGCACUUUCAGCGAGGAGGAAAGGUUGAUGCCUAAUACGUAUCAACUGUGACGUUACUCGCAGAAGAAGCACCGGCUAACUCCGUGCCAGCCGCCGCCGUAA
rnacentral:rRNA from 1 species